rnacentral:pre_miRNA from 1 species
UUUUAAGUAUACAUAUGUUCUGUGCAAUAUUUGGAAUAUACUUAUGCUAAAA